rnacentral:sRNA from 1 species
AACAUUUCAGGUAGUAUAUUAUAAUGAGC